AGGUCAUGUUGGGGACAUUUCUACAACAUUCGUUUGUAGUGCUCCCAUGCUUCAUAUAAUGUUUCUUCGUCCCCUUGCUGAAAAUUUUGAAUUUGAUCUCUCUUUUU